CAACUGGCAAGUAAGACACAAAGCAAAAUGUCCGAUGCUCGUAGAAUCAAGAGCAGUCACCUGUCUUUGGGAGGAUUCGGUUUCCUACGACGUGUAUGAUACCUUGAGAAGAAGAAAAUAUUGGAGGGAUCAUUCUAUGGUUGUUUGGCUCUAUGCCCCUAGGCACACCGUCACGACAGAGGGAUCCUGUAGAAGAGGAGGCUGUUCACCUCACAAGGAAGUCAGGACCGGAACCCCGACAGGGCAGGAUCCCGGAGGCAGGUGUUGAUCCGAGGCCAGGGAGCAGUGCUGCUUACUGGCUUUCUUAGAGAACCCAGGACCACCAGCCUCGGGGCUG